CGGAACAAUGUGAUCUUAUGUCGCGAUUUCUUCUUAAUAAAAAAUGAUCAAUGAUCCUUAAACUGCUCUCAGUUUCAUGUAUUUCCUUAUUGCUACCAUGAAACUUCAAAUACAGAAUUGAUCCUGCAAUUAACUAAGUAAUUAAGUAUUAAAAUGAUAUAUAUACAUAUAUAUUCGUAAUUGUGCAACAAUUAUUGCCUGUUGUAUUCGAUUAUAGUAGAGAAAUUUAAUGUACGAUUUGAACUACAUUAAAAGUUGAAGCCAAACUUAAAUGGUCUUUUGAUACUCUGUGAUAAUUGAUCGCUUGUUUAAUGUAAUUAAUUGCAAAUCAAUUUCCAUUUAAAAAAUUAUUUGCAACAAUUGCGGAUACAUAUAUGUAUUGAAGAAGUUCAUAAUGUUGAAAGAGGGGAUAAUUGUGUGGCACGUAUACGCUGUACGGUUGCCAGGACAACAAAUUUGGAUAACAAAAGAGGCAGUAAGCUGAUUGUAUCAAUUUUAUCGUCGGACAGCGAGGAUUUACGGAAAAAUUAUGAAAGAAAACACCAAGUUCCUUGUAACCGAACUGAACAAAUUACUGGAUCGUAAUUACAGUGUAAUCUAUUUUAAUUCCUUAAGUCCUGAGGAACUGUUGCAAGUUUUGAAAGAGGUGUUGAUUAAGAUACAAGAUCAAAAUGAUACGAAUGUUGAUAUUAGAAAUGGAAGCCCCGAAGAAACUGCUAUUUACAUUUUGUCUAUUCUUCGGGUACUUAAUUAUCAGCCACAAAUAGAUCCUGCAGCUUUUAGACAAGGUCUUAUUCGAGGCGAUCCCGAUAUGAUUCAUCCCAUCUUGACUUGGCUUUUAUCUCGUUUGGAUAUUGUUAGGAAAAGAGCUUAUUUAUCUCGUUUUCUAGUAAAGAUAGAAGUUCCCGACGAGUAUUUAAACGACCCAGAAGUCUCCUCUUUGUAUGAUCAGUAUACAGCUGCAAUCAAUAGAUUCAAAACCGUUCAUAAAGAAAGAGAAAUAGGGAAAAAGAAUUUCGAGAAUGCCAGCGAAUUGACAGCAGAUCUGAAAACUAUGGAGAAAGAAAAAGAAGCUGUAACGAUACGUAUUGAAAAAAUGAAGGCAAAAGCAGAACCUGGCAUUCACUUGUUAGAUGCAGCUAGAGCAUUGCGCAUAGAAAAAGAUAAAGAGCGUGAUCUGGCGUUGCAGGAAGAGCAAGAGAAAGAUAUUUUAUCUACGUUGCAGACUUCGCUCCAAAGGUUAGAGCGGGAGUUGCAAACUCUGAAAGAGGAUGAGAAUGAAAUUACAGUUGAAACGUUGUUGCAACAUUUGUCCGAGGCAAUAACGGUUCAGACAAUAGUAACAAAUGAAAAGUUACCGGGUGAAAUACAAACCAAAAGAGAUCACAUAAAAGCUUUAGUCGCGGUGAAACAGUAUUCGUACUUGGGACCGGAUCAAAUAACUGCAUUGAGAAAUAAAUUGGACACCAUAUCCGAAGAGAUUCAAAAAUUGAUAGGGUUGAAGAUCUCUAAAAGCAGCGUUGAUAAAAUCGAGCCCUUUCGACAACAAGCGGCUGCUGUUACGAAUAUUAAAAGAAACGUGUUGGAGCGAUUGGAGAAAACAGAAAGAUCUUUGCAAGAAUUACAAGCAAAAUUAAAGGAGAAACAAGAAUUAUCGAAAUUUAUGGUAGAAGAUAUAAUACCGAAAGGGGAAGAGUUAAAAAAAUACAUAAACCGUUUGAAAACUAGAGGUACACUUUAUAAACAUUGCAAGGCUGAAUUGGCAUGGCUUGCUGCAGAGAAUAACGUGUUAUAUCGAACAACUACCAUUUUGGAAAAUCAGGUUAAUCAAUGUAAUCAAGCAAAAGAAAUAUUUGAAAAUGUAAAGAAAACCAUCCCGGAUAAUUUUACGGAAGAAAACGCGUUUUCGAUGAAUGUUCAAUUGUCGAGAAAUAUAUUUGCAUUUCGCGCGAAAUUGGUCCCUUUGAUAAAUGAGUUGCAGACAUUGCGAAAAAAAUCACGCGAAUAUGAUCAGCAACAGCAACAAGCGGAAAAGACGCAUAAAAAUGUAGAAUCGAGUAUGAAUAUUUCAAUUAAUGAUUUACAAUCUGAAAUAGAAGGCAUAAAACUGAAAAUAGAAAAGGAUGUUGAAGAAAUAAAAAAAUUGCAAGAGCUUGUACAUAGAAUGAAAACUACAGAGGAAAAAAUAAAUCGUGAUACAGAGGAUUCUACAAUUUCUGAUCCUGGCAAAAAACUGAAGGAAGAAUUAAAUAACGUUGUCUUAUCCGAAGAAGCAAAACUAAAAAGUUUGAUGAUAGAGAAAGACCGUUUGAAGGAGUUUGUUGCAGUAAAGGAAAAACAAAUACAAAUGUGGAAUGAUAUUUUAUCGAACAUUAGAUGGAAAUGAGAACGAUCAUUGGUAAAUGCCAGGAAGUCGAAAGAGAAUAGCCCUCUUCUUGUUUCAACGAGAAUUACUUGUAAGCACGAACCUCUACUACCGAAUAAAUUUCACGCAAUCUGUGGAAUGUGGAAAUGGUUAAAUGGAAUUGGAAAAUUCGAAAUGUGUGCAUUAUCGAUAAGGGAAAAAAGCGACCUGAAAAUAAGCGUGUAAGCGAGAUAACGUAUGUUCUGCUAGUCACAGACUGCACGUUCCGUAAGAAAAGUUGAUGUUGCUCCAUGAAGGCAGAACAGCCGUAGUUAUUGUCUUAUCGUUUAAUACGUGAGUUAGUAGAAAAAUGGGAUUCACGCUACAUAAGGGCAGGGCGGACCUACCCUUAUUUUUGCCUAUUGUGCGUACCUCGCGACAAGUCCCUCGAGAUGCAUAUACAGACGCGCUGUCUAACUUUCUACGAGCCAUAUUUAGUAGAUCUUUGCUCGAGACUUCUUUCGAAGCACGGAUAGUAGUUAUGCCAAUGUUCGUAACAAUCCUUCCUUUUUUCUACCUUGCGCAGAGUAACGAGUAUGCGAUUAAAUGGCGAUGAAAAGGAAAGAGUAACACGUGGAUGUGCAGUCUACCUUGGUUUCGUAUGUUAGACAAAGAGGCAAUGACCGCGACUAUUGCCCUCUCUCGUCUCCUUCCAUGCACGCAUACACACGUACACACAUAAUAUCUCUCUCUCUCUCUUGUGUCGACUUCAACUUUUCUUACUGAGCGCGCAGCAGCAUAAUGGUAUGGUAAUGGCAUUUCUCAACGGCGUUAUAAUGUCGAUUGCGGAACAUGAUCGUAGAAACAAAGGAAUCUGUGCAUGCAA
rnacentral:misc_RNA from 1 species